AUGGACUCGUUCUUCUUUCUUGCGGGAUUUCAGGAAAAUCCUCCAAGGACAUCUCAAAGAGUAGCAAAUGAAACUGCUACAGCCCAGUCUUCACAGCAGGCAGCUCAAACAUCACAGCAAGCUGCAGGAGGGAGAGCCCAGUCUUCACAGCAAGCUACAGGAGGGAGAGGCCAGUCUUCACAGCAAGCUACAGGAGGGACAACACAACCUAGAAGGGGAAGGCCUCCAAAGCAAGCAAACAGUACACCUGGUGCUAGUUCUAGUCAGGGAAGGAGGAAAUCUACCAGGGUUAGCAUGUUUGAUGAACUAAGGGGUUAA
rnacentral:rRNA from 1 species